GUGGGGAAUUGUUCGCAAUGGGCGCAAGCCUGACGACGCAACGCCGCGUGGAGGAUGAAGGUCUUCGGAUUGUAAACUCCUGUUGCCCGGGACGAAUGGCUCCGACCUAAUACGUCGGAGUGUGACGGUCCCUGGUGAGGAAGCCCCGGCUAACUCUGUGCCAGCCGCCGCGGUAAUACAGAGGGGGCAAGCGUUGUUCGGAAUUACUGGGCGUAAAGGGCGCGUAGGCGGCCUGCUAAGUCGAACGUGAAAUCCCCGGGCUCAACCCGGGAACUGCGUCCGAUACUGGUUGGCUCGAAUCCGGGAGAGGGAUGUGGAAUUCCAGGUGUAGCGGUGAAAUGCGUAGAUAUCUGGAGGAACACCGGUGGCGAAGGCGGCAUCCUGGACCGGCAUUGACGCUGAGGCGCGAAAGCCAGGGGAGCAA
rnacentral:rRNA from 1 species